rnacentral:misc_RNA from 1 species
AAACAGCUUGCCAGCCCUUCCAUACGUGUUGGUGUGCACUCACGCCUCGCAUCGCUUCACUGGAAGACGCGCCGAGGGCACUCGCAGAGGAACCGCGUUCUCCUCUCCCGGCGCUGAUGUACCGCACGGCGCCUCAGAUUCUCUUUCAGUUUGUGGGUGGCCUGAGCAUCACCCAGUACACCUACCCCAUCCUCUACGACGCCUUCACUGGCGAGAAGACCGGUGCCCAUGCCGCCACUAUCACCACGUCCAGCAGCAACGGCAGCUUCUCGGGGCUGUGGGGCAGCUUGAAGUGGAGCUUUCAAGCCCCUCCAGUGGAUCACACCCUCACAGACGACAUCGAGGAACUCCUGCGCACCCACUACUGGCUCGCGUCCGCAGUCCUGUCGCUCACGGUAGUGUCUGGCGGCGCGCCAGCGCUGCUAGGGAGCGGGCUCAGCGUGUACUGCAACGGCGGCCCCGAGGGCAAGGCCCGCUACUCCCUGCUGAAGCAGCGGCUUCGCAACUUCUCCGAGAAUGGCAAUCACGCAUAACACACUCUUCUUCGUUUUGGGUGCCUUUGGCCUGCCGAGCGGGGUGAGGUUGGCGUCUGCUGCGUCAUGGGCAGAUAGACGUGCGGGCGGUAUGGUCGUACACACACACACACACGUACGAGUUGAUCGCCAACCAAGGAAAGAGCAAACACCAAAGUCGCCGUGCCGAGGCGUUGGACCAUACAGGUCUGUCGGUGCGCAUGCCCGCGUGCGUUGGUGUGGCCAUCGCUUCGUCGUCGCUGCGUGUUCUCUCUCCCUACACUGCUACGGCUUCUCGCACAGGGACGAUACAGGACUCACCCGUGCAUGCUAGGCUGAUGGUGGGUAGAGACCCGCGUGCCUCCGUCGCAGCGUCGCGCUCGUGGAGUCAAGUCACCGUGCGGCCGUGCUCGUUGCACGCGACAGAAGAACGCAGCUGAAGCAGGCAUACACUCGGACACGGCACACGGCGCAUGAUGGAUAGCGCUCAUGUUGUUAGAUUCGCUGCGCUCGUACCUUCGUGCAUUGCAUGUCUGCAGACGGCUGCGUCGUUCCAUCACCGCAGCCCACUCUCUCCCGUCUUUCUCUGAAGGUCCUGCUGUCGUUGUGCAUCGAGGAGCUGAGCUGGAGACUGAAAGGGGGGAGGGAGGGUGUAGAGGCGAAGACGCGGGCCAGCGCAGCAUCUCCUCACGACUGCACUCGCUCGCCCCUUGCUCGCCUGACUCUUUUCAUUCUUCUCUCGCCCCUCCCCUUCUCUUUCCCUCUGACGCCGGUAGACACGCAGACACAGAGCAGACACGCCCAACAUCUUGGGGAGGAGGACGGCGGCACAGGCAGCCAUGCUAAAAGGAUAGCAGCAGCAGCAUCGACAACGACCACGACAACGGCGGCGGCGGCUCGCACCCCUGCGCACAAGCACGCGCCAGCGCAUACGUGUUUCGCGGCUCGUAAGAGGCCGCUCUUCUUCUGUUUCAAUGUAGUUGUGUGGCGUCCCCUUCGGUUGGUGGCUGCGUCCCCCGCCUCCCUCCCUCUGCUGGAUCUCCUCCGUGCUGUGUUUCCAGCUCUUUGCGUAGCUGCCGAGCUCACUGCCACGUGCAUGCAUAUGCGGCGGGGAAGUAAGUCUCGCCUUGGGCAGUGGAUGCAGCCGUCCACCCAUCGCACUCUGCCGUUACGACCUCCUGUGCCUUCCACAGCCAGUCCGUGAGCAGCUGCCCGCCGUCUCAUGGAAGGACAGGAGACCUUCUUCGCGCACCACUACUGCACCCCGCCCCUCUCUACCCUCUGUUCCCCUCGCAAGCACCUUCCUCAGGGAGCGGCUCCAGCAUCCACUCUUCGGCGAUGACGUUCCUCGUCCAGACGGGGCCGCGACCGGAGGCGAGUUCGUCUGGUUGGACCCGAACGACAGCCCCCACGCACGGGCUGGCGCAGCACAGCCGGCAUACCCUCUCUCUCAUGUUUGCAUAGAUCAUCCGACGACUGCACAGGUGGCAGGCCGUACCCCAUCCUCCCUGGGUCCAUCGGGGGGGGGGAUCUAGGGAGAGGCUGCCUUCUCAUAUCGAAAUCCUUCACCUUAAGGAGGGAGGGGGGAUCGCCCCCACCUCCUCCGCCAAGCCCUGGGGGCGUUGACCCCGAGCGUUACAUGGGUACGCUCAGCGACGGGAUUCGCCGCAAGCAGAACAAGCUCCAUCGCGGCUCGCCUCACACCGGAGGACGACCUACAGACGCUCUUCCAGCCAUCCGCAGAAGCCCUCUGAGCGCCUCAGCAGGAACGGGCUAUCCCAGGCAGACGGCACUGCUCUUCACCACGUGGCGCAGCGGCUUGUCGAGAAUCGGCCGCAUCGCCACGCGUCAACACGGCCAGCAAGCCGCAUGCCCAUCACAGAACCGCCCUUUGCCGGAAUCCUUCGAUGCUGCGCGGAGCGGGGCUGUGGGGCCCGUGGCCCCGACGUUGCCGCGGUCUGGUGGCGCUGUGGGUGGGCGGCAGCAACAAGGGGCAACGCGAGGCUGCUGCACACGGCACCUUCUCCUCAAGGGCGGCGAGACCUUUGCGAACCGGAGGAUGAUGGCUUACCAGGUGAUGAAGGUGAAGCGUUUUCCAGCUAGGAGGAUGCACCAUGCAGGCUGCCUCCAGCAACCUAUCGACCGAAUACAACACCGCGUUCGCCCGGGACAUCAGCAGCCCGAACAACGAGGACAGCGUGCACGCCUUGAAGGCGGCGUUCGACUUCUUCGUGACGCAAGCGCGGCACGGACGGCGUUUCGUUCUCGGCGCCCCUCGGACCAAAGACGAGGCCCUUAGUGGACGGAAUAGCCGAAGCCUUCUGCGCUGAGCCGGAGGCCGCAGCGUGGGCACGCGCUAGCCAGCACCGGUCGACCGAACGCGACGCCGUCAUCACGAAGCACGGAGGCCCUCACCUAAACAACAUCAACACAGGGGCGGAGGAGGAGGACCAGGCGCGAGUACAUUCAAGGCGGCAACAACGGGAGAAAAAUGUGCCGCCAACGCCCUCGUGCGACUCUUGCCGCAAAAGUCCCUUCCGCACACACACACAUAAAUAUGCGCGCCGUUGGAUCCGUCUGCCUCGCCAACUGAGGGGGAGGGGGGGGGCUCAUCGAGAACGGACGCUCCUCAACACGGCAUGACGGGCCGAAGGGGCUCUCCUUCCGCUGCGUCCAGCACGGCCGACGACGCAGUCCGGCUUGCUACCCUUUUUCCCGCUACGUCGCACCUUUGGUGAAUCAUCGCCGGCUCCUCGCUGGGAAGACGGCCAGCAGCUGGGACGAAGUCUGCCGUCUGGCCCCACAGAGCUUCCUCAGCGUCUCCAGCGCCAC